ACGCACUUCCUCCCACAGGACCAGAUCCAAAAAUGUGCUGCUAGAAAGGAAGCAUUCAACAAGGGGAGCCAACGGGGAGCACCAAAUCACUUUGUAAUUUAUUUACCGUCACCAUAACAGAAGCGCCAUGAGGUGGCCGUCGGCUUCACACGGAGUCUGAUGAUGGGACUCGCUGUAAACAGGUUUGCUUGAACAUUGUAACGAGCUUGUCAUUAUUUGUUUCCAUUCAAGGAAGUCAGCAAAAUUGUAAUGAUCUUACAAAGCAUCCACAAGCGUCACUCAGCCCCUGGAGCACAGCGAGGCCUCUUCUUUACUCGGGCAUUUUUAGUGCUGUGACCUCAGGCUUCAUUUUAAAGUACUGGUUAAAACGGACAACCGCAUACCUAGUGGGGAAAGAACAAGGCAGAGUCAGAGCUGACCUCAGUCCUGCUUCCUCUUGCCCUGAGCUGACUGCACAAAGUUCACACUGCCAGCGUGCAUGCUUCACCUGCUGCUGCCCCUGCUGGACACUCCCCAUGUUGAGCACGUAAGUGCA